GAAAAUUGGUGGAUUUCAAGUAAUCAAGCAAUCAAAGGUGGUGAGCCCUCUAACAAGGGCAAAGACGUUGUGUCAGAGGACUGAGAAUAGGAGGAUUUCAAACUCCUGUUACAGGGAGGUGCAAAAACUGAUAUUAAAGCCUUGCAAGGUUCCGAUUAGCAUUUCGGGCAAUGAAUGUCUAUGAGACGUCGCGACUGUUGUCACGGGCUCGAGGGGAGUAUCGGGUCAUGACAUAAUACUUUUCAAAAUAAUCAUUAACUAUUGUCACAAUAUUUUUUAUUGUAUCAUCUGUGUAUGGAAGUAAUCAUCAGGUAGUUUAACCAAAUACAAAUUUCCAUCAUCUAUAUUUAAUAACCAUUGUCCAAAUGCCUAAAUUUCAUUCCUUGAUUGUUCAUCUAAAUCAUCUUGUUGUAAUCUCAUAUUAGUCUUUAGAUAGAA